AGAGAGUUAGUAUAAUAAAUACCAUUGACUUAGGAUCAAUAAAUAAGUCCAAACACUUACUCACUA
rnacentral:tRNA from 1 species